UAGUAGCGGCGAGCGAAGCGGGAAGAGCUCAAAUUUAUAAUCUGGCACCUUCGGUGUCCGAGUUGUAAUCUCUAGAAAUGUUUUCCGCGUUGGACCGCACACAAGUCUGUUGGAAUACAGCGGCAUAGUGGUGAGACCCCCGUAUAUGGUGCGGACGCCCAGCGCUUUGUGAUACAUUUUCGAAGAGUCGAGUUGUUUGGGAAUGCAGCUCAAAUUGGGUGGUAAAUUCCAUCUAAAGCUAAAUAUUGGCGAGAGACCGAUAGCGAACAAGUACCGUGAGGGAAAGAUGAAAAGCACUUUGGAAAGAGAGUUAACAGUACGUGAAAUUGUUGGAAGGGAAACGCUUGAAGUCAGACUUGCUUGCCGAGCAAUCGGUUUGCAGGCCAGCAUCAGUUUUCCGGGAUGGAUAAUGGUAGAGAGAAGGUAGCAGUUUCGGCUGUGUUAUAGCUCUCUGCUGGAUACAUCUUGGGGGACUGAGGAACGCAGUGUGCCUUUGGCGGGGGUUUCGACCUCUUCACACUUAGGAUGCUGGUGGAAUGGCUUUAAACGGUCCGUCUUGACC
rnacentral:rRNA from 1 species